UAGGGAAUCUUCGGCAAUGGACGGAAGUCUGACCGAGCAACGCCGCGUGAGUGAAGAAGGUUUUCGGAUCGUAAAGCUCUGUUGUAAGAGAAGAACGAGUGUGAGAGUGGAAAGUUCACACUGUGACGGUAUCUUACCAGAAAGGGACGGCUAACUGCGUGCCAGCAGCCGCGGUAAUACGUAGGUCCCGAGCGUUGUCCGGAUUUAUUGGGCGUAAAGCGAGCGCAGGCGGUUAGAUAAGUCUGAAGUUAAAGGCUGUGGCUUAACCAUAGUAGGCUUUGGAAACUGUUUAACUUGAGUGCAAGAGGGGAGAGUGGAAUUCCAUGUGUAGCGGUGAAAUGCGUAGAUAUAUGGAGGAACACCGGCGGCGAAAGCGGCUCUCUGGCUUGUAACUGACGCUGAGGCUCGAAAGCGUGGGGAGCAAACAGGAUUAGAUACCCUGGUAGUCCACGCUGUAAACGAUGAGUGCUAGGUGUUAGACCCUUUCCGGGGUUUAGUGCCGUAGCUAACGCAUUAAGCACUCCGCCUGGGGAGUACGACCGCAAGGUUG
rnacentral:rRNA from 1 species